rnacentral:rRNA from 1 species
GGUAGUCCACGCCGUAAACGAUGCUAACUCGUUUUUGGGUUUUCGAAUUCAGAGACUAAGCGAAAGUGAUAAGUUAGCCACCUGGGGAGUACGUUCGCAAGAAUGAAACUCAAAGGAAUUGACGGGGGCCCGCACAAGCGGGGGAUUAUGUGGUUUAAUUCGAUGAUACGCGAGGAACCUUACCAAGACUUAAAUGGGAAUUGAUCGGUUUAGAAAUAGACCUUCCUUCGGGCAAUUUUCAAGGUGCUGCAUUGUUGUCGUCAGCUCGUGCCGUGAGUGUUAGGUUAAGUCCUGCAACGAGCGCAACCCCUGUCACUAGUUGCCAUCAUUCAGUUGGGGACUCUAGUGAGACUGCCUACGCAAGUAGAGAGGAAGGUGGGGAUGACGUCAAAUCAUCACGGCCCUUACGUCUUGGGCCACACACGUAAUACAAUGGCCGGUACAGAGGGCAGCUACCAGGUGACUGGAUGCAAAUCUCGAAAGCCGGUCUCAGUUCGGAUUGGAGUCUGCAACUCGACUCUAUGAAGCUGGAAUCGCUAGUAAUCGCGCAUCAGCCAUGGCGCGGUGAAUACGUUCCCGGGCCUUGUACACACCGCCCGUCAAGCCAUGGAAGUCUGGGGUACCUGAAGUCGGUGACCGUAACAGGAGCUGCCUAGGGUAAAACAGGUAACUAGGGCUAAGUCGUAACAAGGUAACC